rnacentral:rRNA from 1 species
UAGUGGCGGACGGGUGAGUAACGCGUGGGAAUCCGCCCUCAGGAGGGGGAUAACGGUUGGAAACGACCGCUAAUACCCCAUAUGCCGAGAGGUGAAACGAAAUUCGCCUGAGGAUGAGCCCGCGUCUGAUUAGCUAGUUGGUGGGGUAAAGGCCUACCAAGGCAUCGAUCAGUAGCUGGUCUGAGAGGAUGAUCAGCCACACUGGGACUGAGACACGGCCCAGACUCCUACGGGAGGCAGCAGUGGGGAAUUUUCCGCAAUGGGCGCAAGCCUGACGGAGCAACGCCGCGUGAGGGAUGAAGGCCUCUGGGCUGUAAACCUCUUUUCUCAAGGAAGAAGAACUGACGGUACUUGAGGAAUAAGCCACGGCUAA